GACGUAGGGCGCGAGCGUUGUCCGGAUUUAUUGGGCGUAAAGAGCUCGUAGGCGGCUUGUCGCGUCGACUGUGAAAACUCGGGGCUCAACUCCGAGCUUGCAGUCGAUACGGGCAGGCUAGAGUUCGGUAGGGGAGGACUGGAAUUCCCGGUGUAGUGGUGAAAUGCGUAGAUAUCGGGAGGAACACCAGUGGCGAAGGCGACUUCCUGGCCUGUUCUUGACGCUGAGGCGCGAAAGCCAGGGGAGCAAAGCGGGG
rnacentral:rRNA from 1 species